GACAGAGGGUGCAAACGUUGUUCGGAAUUACUGGGCGUAAAGCGAGUGUAGGCGGUGUGGUAAGUCGGAUGUGAAAGCCCCGGGCUCAACCCGGGAAGUGCACUCGAUACUGCCACGCUAGAGUAUCGGAGAGGUUGGUGGAAUUCCCGGUGUAGUGGUGAAAUGCGUAGAGAUCGGGAGGAACACCUGUGGCGAAGGCGGCCCCCUGGGCCGGCCCUGACACUGAGACGCGAAGGCGUGGGGAGCGAACGGG
rnacentral:rRNA from 1 species